CUCGGAUAAUAAUAACCAGUUUUGUACCAGGCAGCGUUCAGUGGGUUGCAUUCCAAAUGGCACCCUAUUCUCUAUAUUCUGCAGUGCACUACUUUUGGGUAAAAAGAAGUUCACUGCAUAGAGAAUAUGAUGCCAUUUGGGAUGCAAAUCACUGAGAGUAGGUGUUUUAAUCAAGUCUAGCAAGAGCAUGCAUAAUCACAGCACAUUGACUCGUGACUCAGGAUGGAAGGUGUGUUAGCCCCAUACAAUUACUUACUCUUACAUUAUACCCGUGUCUGAAAUUACUUGUAUUGUUUACUCAAACAUGAUUCAAUCUCAACAUCUUCCAAUUGGAAUUGCAUGAGCUGAAGUCAAUUAUCCAUUUGAGGUCAAGAGGAAUUUGUUUUAGAGUUGAAGAUGCACUAUGCAGAAAUAGCUCCCCCAUUUUCUGGUUGCAAAGAUUCUAAUGGUUUGCCUAAUUUCAGUUUAUGUGACAAAACAAGCAAGCAUAGUUUAGAGAAUCAUUGUAUUUUCAGUUGGUGUACAAAACUGAAAGUAAAAGACACAAAAACAAAACUUAAGAAGAAGAAGCAUAAAAAUAACGCUGUUAACAGAUACAGGUAUCCUGAGUGUGUAUUCCUUUUCUCUCCUUCUCCCCUCACACUGUCACAGAUACAGGUAUCCUGAGUGUGUAUUCCUUUUCUCUCCUUCUCCCCUCACACUGUUACAGAUACAGGUAUCCUGAGUGUGUAUUCCUUUUCUCUCCUUCUCCCCUCACACUGUUACAGAUACAGGUAUCCUGAGUGUGUAUUCCUUUUCUCUCCUUCUCCCCUCACACUGUUACAGAUACAGGUAUCCUGAGUGUGUAUUCCUUUUCUCUCCUUCUCCCCUCACACUGUUACAGAUACAGGUAUCCUGAGUGUGUAUUCCUUUUCUCUCCUUCUCCCCUCACACUGUUACAGAUACAGGUAUCCUGAGUGUGUAUUCCUUUUCUCUCCUACUCCCCUCACACUGUCACAGAUACAGGUAUCCUGAGUGUGUAUUCCUUUUCUCUCCUUCUCCCCUCACACUGUCACAGAUACAGGUAUCCUGAGUGUGUAUUCCUUUUCUCUCCUUCUCCCCUCACACUGUUACAGAUACAGGUAUCCUGAGUGUGUAUUCCUUUUCUCUCCUACUCCCCUCACACUGUUACAGACACAGGUAUCCUGAGUGUGUAUUCCUUUUCUCUCCUUCUCCCCUCACACUGUCACAGAUACAGGUAUCCUGAGUGUGUAUUCCUUUUCUCUCCUUCUCCCCUCACACUGUCACAGAUACAGGUAUCCUGAGUGUGUAUUCCUUUUCUCUCCUUCUCCCCUCACACUGUUACAGAUACAGGUAUCCUGAGUGUGUAUUCCUUUUCUCUCCUACUCCCCUCACACUGUUACAGAUACAGGUAUCCUGAGUGUGUAUUCCUUUUCUCUCCUACUCCCCUCACACUGUUACAGAUACAGGUAUCCUGAGUGUGUAUUCCUUUUCUCUCCUACUCCCCUCACACUGUUACAGAUACAGGUAUCCUGAGUGUGUAUUCCUUUUCUCUCGUACUCCCCUCACACUGUUACCUUUUCACUAUUAUGAUUUGCAUGAGUUAUGUUACGGGUCUCAUUUCCAUCCCCCCUAGACUGCAGGGCCAAAGGGAUUAGUAACAAACGCACAUAGAAUAGAUAUACUCUAUCCCUCCCCCUCCCUCAGGACCUGAGCACUAGCACCAUGCCUCAGGACUACCUGGCCUGAUGACUCCUGGCUGU